rnacentral:misc_RNA from 1 species
GCGGAAGGAUCAUUACCGAGUGAGGGUCCCUCGGGGCCCAACCUCCCAUCCGUGUUGUCCUGACACCUGUUGCUUCGGCGGGCCCGCCGUGGUUCACGCCCCGGCCGCCGGGGGGUUCACGCCCCCGGGCCCGCGCCCGCCGAAGACCCCUGGAACGCUGCCUGGAAGGUUGCCGUCUGAGUAUACAAUCAAUCAAUUAAAACUUUCAACAACGGAUCUCUUGGUUCCGGCA